rnacentral:lncRNA from 1 species
UGAGAUUCACGCUGAAUUUGAUGUAAAUGCAAUGUGAGGCUGGCUAUAAAUUAUCCCUAACUUGGUUGGGGUAAUGCUCUCAUUUUACAACGACGUGACCCCUGACGCAGACCAAAAAGAGAAAAGCCAGAGAGGGCACUCACUACCAUUUUUAAAGAGACACACCAGAAAAUGUACUGCGGAUGCGUGAUCCAUAGAAUGCCACCAAGUCUAAGUAUUGAACUCACAUGAUUCCUGGGGCAUGGCGGUGGGCCUGGGCCAAUAGAUUUCUUGCUGAUUCAAGUCGUGAUCCACCCAGUUGUCUUGUCAUCCACGGUCCUUGAAGAAAAUCAAUACCAUUUCCUCUUUUUUGAUUGUCUUUCCCUUCUCAGGAGAAAGUAUCGCAAAUCUGCUACUGAAAUAGGAGCGGUAGAACGAACGAACGAAACUCUGAUAUACACAAAAAGGAUUGAGAUCGAGAGCUUGCGUUGCGUUCCACUCGGAGGCGCGCUCAACGCUCACCUCUCAUUGUGCCCUUCUAUUCUAUGGAGCCACCCCACCCCCUCUAAUAAUAAUCCGUCUUUGAGAUAAGAAAGAUUGCCAUCUUUAUUUCCGUUUUUGUGUCUCAUGCUGUCAACAUUUUAAGCAGUAAAAAGUAAUGCAUGGAUUUUAAAAAGUUAAAGUGGAGUAAUUGUCACCCUUCUUUUUUACUAUUAACUUUUAAUUAGUCCUUUCAAUUGUAUGUUGCAGCCUUCUAAAUUGACAAUAAUACUCCUAAUGCCCUACACGUCAUCUUCAUUUAUCCUCUCAAUCGUGAAUUGAAGCGAGAGCAUCUUGAAUUAAUUAAUUAACGUUAUUUUUUACUUAAUAACGCGGCAGCAAAGAGAAUUCAGGACUUAAGAAACCAGUGUUGAGAAAAAUUCUGCUAAUAAAGGAGAAAGGUCCAACUCCAACUAGACUAAGGGACGGCGUGGCGGUUGACGACAUUAAUGGUGGAAAAAAGCUGAGCAGCAGGGGGUAUAGCAUCCCCGGUGGCGGUAGGAGCAUCAACGGAAGCAGAAGCACCGCGACCAGGUUGGGGUGGGAGGUGUCCCUGGGUCCCAUAUCCUUGCUGCUUGUAAUCCUCCAAGUCCUUGUACUGCGUGUAGGGACUAGUAUUCACUGGCCCUCCCUUCUCUUCCUUGCCUUUUCUCUCCAUUUUGCCCUCCACCUUUAUUAUUACCACUUCUAUUUGCCCCCAAAAAAAAAAAUUUACUUUUUUUCUGUCGAAUUUUUCAGGGCUUCAAAUUGAUAUAGCUGAUCACUAGGUGGAUUGCUCUUUGAUUGAUUUUUGUGAAUUCGAGAAAUUCGUAUUAUAUGGCUUCUCUAUUUCGGCCUGCCGUUGCCACGAGUCAUUGACGUGUUAGGUGUUGAGGAAAGGGAGGCUAGAGUCACGUUGAGCCGCCAAUUCCACCGGGGGGAAUGCUUCUUGGUCUCUGCAUCUGCACUAAUCCCGAGCUUUUGGUUUGGACAUUAACCAAAUUUUGGGGGCUCACAGCCCUUUGUGCAGGUACUGAAUCGCACUUGUACGGAUUUCUGUCUUUGGCCCAAAUAUUCAGAGAGAGGUAUCUGCGGCUGUUUCAGGGUUUCGUCCUUAUCAUUUUGGGCCCUGUUAAUUCCUGUUUGGAAUAAUAUACCAAAAUCCAACCCAAAAAAAAAAACGUAGAAUACACAGAACAAGUGGGAAAUGACAGCCAAGCCAUUUUAAAUGCUCGAAAAUUUCUCCUGCAAUGCUACAAUUAUUAUUGCAUUAUUCUAGUACGUCUUUUUGCUCCGUAAAAGAUAAAAUGCAAUAAAGAGGAACAGCAUAGAUCCCAUGAAUUAAAUUUGUUGAAUUCGUUUCAAAGGAGGGAAAAGCACUGAGGAGCGGGCUCAAUUCUUUAUUGACAUUAUUAUUAUGCCAGCUUCAGCCCUCAUCGUUUUGUUUCUUUCUCCUUCGUGCCCGGUAAAAGCCAAGAUUCAAGUUUCGAUCAAGUCACCAUGAUCGUGAUCCUUUUGUUUUUAUGAUCAUCCUUCGUGCUAGUGCAUACUCUUAUCUGCUUCCAUAUAAAAAUAGACCAGUGCCUAAUUACUAGUUCUACUUCUGCAACUAAGUAAUUACUAGUAAUUAGUGUGCCGUGACCCCAUGAACCCCAUCCAAUAAUCGUGUGGUGGUAAUCGCAUCCACAAUUUCGGAUGAUGAAGUCCCUUUCGGCUUUCGAUUUUGAAAAUUAUAUCGCACCAGAAUCCAAAAUGAAUCUUCCAAACCAAUAUCUACCAUCCAAUCAAAUUGUUACAAUAUCUUUUUCAAGUUCAUGCAGUUCCAGACCUCCAAUGUCAACAUACACACUGCUGUCAUGUUAUUUUCCUUGACGUCGUUUUAAGAUUUGUGAAAAUAUUGGAAUCAAAGGCAUGUACAGUUUAGCAGACAAACGGAAUGAUAGAUGCAGACUUUCAAGAAAUUCUCUGUUUGGAUUGAGUGUGUUAUUUGAAAUAAUUACUGUAUUACUUUUUAUAAUGUGAUGUAUGUGAGAUAAAAAGAUGAAUUAAAAAAUAUGUCUAUAAUGCAAGUAAAAUAUUAUUUAAAAAAAGGGGUAUCCAAACAAUUCAUUGAUCGAUAAACGUUGAAGUGAAAAAAAAAAAAAAAAAAAAAACAACUGUACACCUUCCUGGUUUAUACUUUUUUUUUCCUGUUUUAUACUUAUGAUGCAAAGUUUUCUACCUCCAGCAGAACAACACCAAAUCAAACUGUAAUAAAUGCGCAAAACAUAGAAGGGAAUUUAUAAUCAUAACUUAAAAGAAACUAGUAAAACCAACUAGGCUCACAGCCCCUUUGAGCAAAGCCCAGCAAUUCACCAUUCAUGUAACCUGUCCUGUCCUCUUUUCAGUCUCUAGCUAGCCUAUAUCCAGCUAAUGACCACAGGGCUCCCCACAACAUGCUUCCCAUCUGACCACUCUAUUCUACCAAACUCGUUAGUAUUAGAUGGCAUUGAAGUUGCACUGAACGUCACCGUAUACGACUUCUUCUCGUAUGCUUUUGUGAAAGUUAAUGUAUCGGGUUCCACCGUAAUCUUAACUGCUGGACUUGUCGUCGAGAUUGAAACCUUGUACGUACUUCCUCCGGAGCCUCCCCCAACGUUGGUAAGCGUCCUCGUGUACUUAACUACGCUCUUGCUUCCGCCGCCGCUGCGGGAACCACCGCCCCCCCCAAUCACUUGAGUCUGCAGCGACACCGAAAAUGAAGGGUAGUUGAAAUCCCCGAUGCUGUAGGUUUUAUCGGCAUCACAGCUGUAAUUUCGCCUGGCGACCCCUUGAAUUUGCAGGGACGUGUAAUUUAAUGCGCAUAGGAAAUUGAGAUAAUCGUCGGUGGUCAGGUCAUAGACGAGUCCCGGGUUGAGGGCUGCGACGGGGUCCACAUGCCCUGCUCCAUGAUCGUACGGUGUCGAUGCCUUUCCGGUGGAGACAUCUAUGAGCUUCUCACCGCCGUUUUUGUAAGCGGUGUAGGCCGUGGUCAUGAGAGCCGAGCGGAUGGCGGCUGGGCUCCAGUCUGGGUGCGCCCCCUUGACAAACGCCGCCAAGCCGCUCACGUGUGGGCACGACAUUGAGGUGCCGGAGAUUAUGUUGAACUCCACGCGCCUCGGGUCCUCUGCCAAUCCGGUGGGGCCCACCGCCCCGGUCCACCCUGCUAUUAUAUUCACGCCUGGAGCUAUCAGGUCCGGCUUCAAGAUCUCGGGUGUGAUUGCAUUUGGUCCCCUCGAGCUAAAAGCAGCUACCACCGGCGACGGUUCGAUCCCCACCUUUGUGCCCUCGAAAAGAAUCGUCGCUGUUGGAUUAGCAUCCGACAAUACAUAAUCUCUAAUCGCGUCUCCUGAUUUCUGACCCACUGUGCUGGCCGGGAGCAAAUGGGCAUCCGCCACAAGCUCCUCACCGUUGGCGGCGGUAUUGGCCAAAACCAUCCCGGCCCCACCGGCUCCUUUCACCACAGCACCCUUUUGGACCCUAGGAUUGAUCCCACGGUCGCACAGGACAAUUUUUCCCUUAACUUUCUCAGGGAUUAACGUGCCGGUCAUGCAGAGAUUCCCAUUGGUGGAAUUGCUAGCGUUCCCUGCAUAGACAAAAGGCAGCAGCUUAGCGGGCAACGAGUCACCUUUGUAAAGCGAAACUCCAGAGAAAUUCUUGCCGUUGCCCAGGCUGACAUACGCCGGGAAGUCUCGGUCCAAAGUUCCGGCACCUACGGUGGUAAUCCAGGGUGCCAAGUUGGACAGAGUAUAAGCACUGGGUCCCGCAUUUCCAGCUGAACAGGACACGAAAAUUCCCUUCUCCAUUGCUGAAAAUGCUCCAAUAGCAACACUGUCUCUGUAGUAGUCGGCGGUGCCGCCGCCCAGAGACAAAGACAAGACAUUUACAGAGUCUUCGAUGGCCCUGUCUAUGGCGGCUAAUAUAUCCGAGCUAAAGCAGCCCCCAAUCCAGCAAACUUUGUAUACAGCAACUCUGGCACGAUAGGCCAUCCCACGAGCCGAACCGGAUGCAUAGCCGAAAAGGCUAGCUCCGCCUACGAUUGCUCCAGCAGCCGUGGUGGACGUGUGGGUGCCGUGGCCGUCGUCGUCUCUAGGAGAUUUUGAUUCUUUCGUAACAUCAAUUGGGCCGAGAGUAGCCUCAUAGCCCGUUGAAAAAUACCUCGCUCCAAUCAACUUCUUAUUGCAAUGAUUGGAAGUGAAGUUGGUCCCCGUCUCACAGGCUCCUUUCCAAGAAGCAGGUACGGGCCCCAUCCCGGUGUCAUCGAAGCUCUUGCUUUCGGGCCAGACGCCGGUGUCUAAGACGGCGACGAUGACAUCGCCCUCCGAGUCCGACUCCGGGAACAAGUUAGCACUCUGUUGGAGUCCUAAAAACGAAGGAGUGCGAGUUGUGUGGAGCUCGUACUUAACCUCUGGCAAAACAUAGAGGAUUCCGGGUUGGUCCUGGAGGGAUUUGGCUUCUUGGGCUGUAAGUCUAGUGGCGAACCCGUGAAUCGCGUUGUUGUAAGUGUACAACAUCUCCGCUGAUUCGGAAACCGAUUUCAGCGACGAGUCGUACCAGCGAGUAUGGUCAUCGAAACUCGCUGGCAUUUGGGAUUUCGCCACAUGAACUAUGUAGGUAUUCUUUUUCUGCUGUACAGCGGAUGCUGCCACGGAGACACGGCAGACACCCAGAAACACAAGAAAAGUCACCACUAGAAACAAUCUCGAGAACUUGAGAUCUCCCAUAUUUUCGUUUGUGGGUUGGCAAGAGAAGAAUGGAGGAGGAGGGAUCGAGAGAGUUAUAUAGAGUGGGAAGACCAAAGGGUCGUCUGCUUUUGAACUCAGUGGAGGUGUGAAACUGAAUUCAUGCACAAACAGAGGCUUGAGAAAGAUCAGUGAAGGACAAUUGGUUGAUGAGUGGGGACGGGGGACCUUUGUCUAGUUAUGGAUAUGAUUGCAAAGGACACGCACAAACAAAAACAAAAGGAGAUCAAGCCAGCUACUAGCUAAGGAGCGAGAAUGAAUGAGCGAGCGAGCGAAGAGAAAGGGGAAGGACUGAUAUAAUAGAGUGAUAUCAAAAUGAAUAUAUGAAUUGUUUCAUCAUUUGGGUAAUAUAGUACUUACCAGUUGAGAGAACUAUUGCUUGCUGGAGAGCAGCAGUAGGAGUACAUAUUAUUAGGUGUUGGUCUUUGUCACGUGCGUGCAGGGGUUGUGUUGAUCGAUAAUUGAUGCUCUUUCACUCAUUUAGCCAGUCAGUGGUACUGAUCCUAAAUGGAGCAUUGCUUUCUCCUUUUUUUUUUUUUUAUCUUUAAUAGUGCGCUUUUUCCAAGUCUGUUGCAGAAUGCAGAAGAAAGAGAAGACAGUGGGAGAUAGGUGGAAAAAAUAAAGCAGGUCUUUGAAUUCGCUACUGCGAGCCGUGGGAAAUAAUGCCCACACUCUUCUGUAUUCUGUUUUCCACGCUUUAUUUACUUUCAUUUGACCAUUGCUGCAAACAUUGGGGCCAUAGCCAGUUGCCAGUGGCAGUAGCCCAAUUCAAGAUGAUAAAUUUCUUCACCUACGUCGUCUUCCAUUGGUCUUUUUCUUUUUUCUUUUUUUUUUUUGUCGCUAGCCGACCGAAAAUACAGUAAAAGAAAGCCACUAAAAAUGAUAAAUCAUAAAUAAUAAUCGGUGAAAAUUAAGGUUUGAAUCAUUAAUCUUCUAUCAAUAAUUAAUACUUUUUAAGUCUGGAUAGUGAUCAAUAGACUAAAUGGCUGUGAACGUCUUUCAUUACUCAAUGGAGGUUGUUAUACUACUCUUUUUGUCUUUUCUUGAUUGGUGAAUCAGGGGAUAGAAACAGUAACACUUAAUAAUCCCCGGGGACAGGGGAGGGGAAGAUUCCUAGAUCUCGUUUGAUAAGUGAAUUUUUUAAAUGUUUAUUUAAAAUUUUAAUGUAGUUUAUUGUAAAAAUUGUAGGAAAAUUUUUUUAAGUGUGUAAAUUUUUAAAGUGUAUGAUUUAAAAAUUUUGAAAAGUUUUUUGAGAUUAUUAUAAAUAAAAUUAUUCAAAAAUUUAUAACAGAUAAAUUUGAUCAAAAACUUACUUGCCAAACAUACCCCCGUGUGAAAGAGGCAGCAGUAUACUACAAGGAGAAGGCCAAAUAAUAAGAAGCAAAGCGGGUAAAACUAGUAGAACUACAAUAAAAAAAAAUCUUGAAUAUUACGCCUAGUGGUUCACGGGUUUAUAGAAACUGUUUGUGGUUAUUGUCCACAAGGAUAGACAGAUAGACGGUGGGUGAGAGACGCGUAUGCUUCAACCAACUCAACUCAACUGAUAGAAACUGUGUGAUAAAUCAACUUCCCUGAGUUCCCUCGCCGCUUUGUGUUCGAUUUUAGGGGUCGUGGAUAAAUCAACUUGGGGUUUGUUUGGAUAGAGAUUUAUUAGCUAAAAUUUAUUUACUUACAUCAUCAUUACAAUUUCCAACGCACCUUUUUAUCUUCCCAAUUACCUUUUUAUCUCACAGACAUCACAUCACAAAAAGUGCUACAGUAAAAAUAUCUCAAAUAAUUUACAAUCCAAACAGAGCCUUGGGCUCCAUUUGGUGCAAAAUUCAAUUUUAAUUAAACCCAUCUCAUGCGAACCUCUCAAACAACCAAUCAAGACCAGCUUAAUUAGGUACUCGUGAGUUAAUUGAACUUUUGAAUAUACUUCAUUUUUCAAUAACCGACACGCACGUAUUUUGCUAAAACUAGGUAAAGCAAAAUCGCAAAUUCUACCAUAAUCAAACUCGAGCUUGAUAAGGCACGAUUGCGCAUUCUUGAUUGAGCUAUGCCUGCCAAGCAUAAUCGAAUUGAAAUAAUCAAAUGCAUAAUUUUGAUGCAGAAUUAAUGCGGGUUACAAGAGCUACCCAAUAAAUGAAUAAUUUUCGGCUAAAAUCUAUCUCGAGUCGAUUACUCUCUAAUCAUCUGUAUCUUCUUUCUUCUUAUUAUAGUAGUACUUUAUGAUUUUGUACACGGAAGUGGGGGGGCAACGAAUCAUGUGAACGUUUCUUGGCCAAAAAAGAAAUUUGUUAAAAAUGGUUGAUCUGAAGUAAGGAUGUGUAUCGAAAUCAAAUUCGAUAAUUUGAAAUUUUGAAAAAUUUGGACAUCAGAAAAUUUGAUCAAUUUCAAUUUCGAUUUUACAUAAUCGUAUUCGAAUUCGUAUCGAAUUCAAUUCAAAAUUCAGUAUUAACCAAUUUCAACUAAUUCAAUUUUUGUAUUAUAAUUAUACAUAUUUUUUGCUAAACUAAAUGCUAACUUUUGUAUAAUAUAUGUUUAUAAUUAUAACAUAAUAUACAACUAACUUAAUAAGACUGAUUAUUGUAUUGUUAUAUAGAUGUAUUAUUAUAUAAUAUAAAUUUUAUAUUACAUAUAAUAUAUAUAUAACAUACAAAUUUGAAAUCGAAAUAGUUAUUCAAGUUUUGAUUUCGAAAUUAAAAAUCCAGAUUUGAGAAAAUCAUAACAGAAUUCGAACCAAAUUCAUAUAAUUCGAAAAUAAAAACCCGAUUUCCACUCCAUUUUUCGAUUUACCGAUUUUGAAAUUUUCGAUUUCCUUUACUAUCCCGAAUUUUUUUUUUUUUAAAUGGAGGCUAGAGAGCGCUCCGCCAUCCUCCCCUGAAAUCGCGACGGAUCAGUUUUUUUUUUUUUUUUUUUUUGUGGUUUACGUCCAAUUUAGACCUAUAUAUAAUAUUCCAACAAACUAAAUGAAAGUAUUAAAAGUUCAGCCAAACGAUAAUUGCAGCAUGUACUCUUUUUCCACUCAUCCGUUUAUGGAUUUUGGAGCUCAGGCCAGUGCGACCUUCUGGACGCUCAGAUGGAGAUUAGGGAUGGCGGCUGGGGUGAAUUAAGUGCCUGUGAUAGAGUGGGGUUUUAGCUCGAGUUGAAGUGUGGAGGGCAACUGUGAAUUUGUCCGCCUCGGCACCGUCUCAGGCAAGGGCCGUGGUAGUACUUGAGGGGGCCUCUUCAGAAUUCGAUCUUUAGUCCUUUUGAAUAAAAGGUCUUGGGGAUGCUUUCUGGUACCACGGCCCUAGUCUAAGACGGUGUCGAGGCGGAUAAAUCCACAAUUGACCUCCACAUGAAGAAUACUCUCGAAAAAGAAGAGAUGACUCAUUACCGCCUAUGUGCUCCUGCAUCAUUAAACCCUAUACUUUAUUAUUUAGGCCCAAACUUGGGUAGACACAAUAUUUAAAAAUCCAAUGAUCUAGAUUAUAUUGCAGAGUUUAGUAAGAUAAUGUGAUCCAAUUUGAGCUAUUGAGUUUUGAAAAUUGGAUGCAUCCAAAUAUGAACAUUUUCUUUAAGGUUAACAUUAAGAGCGUUGACAAUUGAGUUUUCUUUUUGUUAAGGAUGAGCAUGACAGUCGUACGAAAGCUUAUAUUUGGAUUGAGAGAUUUCAAAAAUGAUUCGAAAUUCAUCCAAACCCUUCUAGUUGUUUACAUUAAUCAAGAGGUAUUUUGAUUUGUAAAUCACCAAGUAGGCCUCGUUUGGGGCCGCGGUAGUUUAUAAAAAAGCAUUUCAGAUACAACUAAUCUUUGAGAAAAAGUACUUUUUAAGGUGCCAGAAUUUGGCUACUUAAAUUACAAGAAAUUAAUUACCAAACAUCCUUAAAAAUAUUUUUAUUACUUAAAUUUUUUUUUUCUGUAAAUGCACCGUAACUUCAAAUAGGGCCAAAAGUAGUGUUUAAGAUGCAUUUAGAUAAUCAAUGAAUUGUAAACUCAAAUGUUUCUUAAAUAAUUCAAACAAUUAGAGCGAUUUGGAUAGAAUUAAAAUCCUUCAUCAAUUUUUUAACCCGAACGAAGCCUAAUAAAAAAAUUAGAAAAAAGAUUGAUUAGAGAGGGGUGGGAUACAUGGGACCUAGAGGUGAUGAUUACAUAAUUUGAUGCGUGAUGGACAACAGGUAAUCAUAUGUAUAGACUUGAGUUGGAUGAUGAGGACGAGGAGGAGGGAGUGUGAGUGAGGGAUUCGGUGUUGUAGUUCUUCCACCACGACUGACACUUUACACAAUAUGACACUCUACAAACUAUGAAUAGAGUCGUAUAAGCGCGUAUUAAAUCUACACCAGCGUUAUUGCGUGAAGCAGAAGCACUUUUUCCUCGCCCAAUAAAUUAAGCAUGCCACCACGAGGCUCAUGAAAUUAACUCGAUCUUAGUACGCACUUUUACAGUGUAAACCAAUGACACUGUCGUUGUAUGCACCAGACAACAAGUUCGUCUAACGUUUGAAGCGGGAGACACAGCCCACAAGUUGCACAAAUGAGCAAGCCAUCUUUCAAAGUGGAUCUUUGGAAAGCAGGCAAUCAUGCCCAUGCAUCAUUGGAGCCUUUAUAAAGGUUUGUUGGCCCUUUUUUUGCCUUAUAAACGAAGCCUCUUCCUGCUAGUAUUUAAUUUGCUCAUACCAUAGCGCUGACAAUUGGAAUAAAGGUCAUAAAGUCUUAUUAUACGCAGCGGGACUGGCUGUAAAGGAUGCACUCUUAUGGUCAUAAGGCAGUUAUGCCCGGAAUUUUGUUUUUCGCAGUUGGUUAGAACUUAGAACAGAAAGAAAGAGAAAUUCUGAGGUCUACAAACCGCCAACAUGUGAUGGGUGGUCUAAAGCAAGAUUGUUUUGUCUUGCCGGUGACUGAUAUCCUAUACUUUCCUGCCUACUUCCAACCUCCUUGCCCCCCCCCCCCCCCCAUAUAAUAUAUUUCAUUAGCUCUCUCUAGUCUACUUGUAAUGAGCAGACAAAGCAGUCAAUUUCUUUUUAGCUUUAUGGAGCUCUCCCCAACUUAUUGUUGGCCCUGGGAUUUGUCUAAUUUGUUACGGCUAUUUAUUUCUAUUAAAACAAACCUACAAAAGUGAGACCCCCCAAACAAAAAGAAAAAAUUCGUGGAAAAAAAAAUUUACGGAGCACUACUGUAAUUGGUGGGGCAAAACUGUGAGAUAUGAUGAAUCCGAGAGUUCUUCUAAUACAGUAGCCUAGUUUCCAUCACUGACACUAACUUUUCAUUGGCAUUUAUGGAGUAUACAGUAGAGGCACAAUCAUCCGUAGUUGGCAAUCAUGUAUGUAUAUUGGUUUCGUCUUGCAAAGAGCUUCUUAGGAUGCAUAUGAGAGAUUUAACAAACAAAUUAGAAGUCGGAUUUACGAAACUGUUACUUGUACUCCUCCUUUAAGAAAUCUUUUUGCAUCAUUCACAAAGUCGGGUUUAAUCUAUAUGAAUUGAUAUUACUAUAAUAAUCCAGUAGCAAUACAACCUUAAUGAUUUUACAUUUUGCAGAUCCUAGCGCGGUUCAGAAUUCUGAGCUUGAAUUACGCCGUCGUAUCAUUUGAGACCAGUGACGAAGAAGAAAAACAAGCCGGGAGCUGUAACUUUUUUGUUUCUUCAACGAACCAGCAUGUGACGGUGGCCUACUAAUAAUUCAGUUGUGAAAAGGAAAUUCUGCUGCAUUAGCUAGCUGGUGUGCCAUAUGCUCGCCCGCCAAUAAGUCAAUCCUGACAGACCAUCUUUCAACUCAAUGAGGUUGAUUACUGAUUACAUUUGUGUGCGUACCUGCUGCCAAGGAUAGAGAAGUUAUUAAUUGCCUGGCUCCAUGCUCUUUCCAUCACUGCAGCAGCGAUAAUAAUCUGUGAAGCCUAGAUCACCUCAAAUCCAGGGGGGCAAAAAAUAUAUAUACAUGAUAGUUAUAAUCAUGUCUAAGACCACCACUGAUUGAUUGAUCAGAUCAUGACACUGAGAAAGAAAGCUUUGUACGACCUGCAACGCGACAGUGAAGUUUUGGUCAUUCUCCUUUUGUUUAGGGAUUUUAAAUCACCCAAGUCAUUUGGUUAAUUGUCUUGUGAAAGUUACUUCGUGUUGGGCUAAAUUUGAAACCGACUUUUCUAGGAAUGGAGAUGGAAACAUGAAUGCGUAGAUGAUUAAAAAUGCUUCGAUCCUUUAAACUUGUCGUUUAACGCAUAUGCUUUAAUAUAUAUAUGUCUUAUAAUUGGUUGCUCGUGAAUAAUGAAUAGGAAUAUAAUGGAAGGACGGAUUAGUAGCACAUAUAAUAAGGAUACAAACGGGGCCAUCAAAUCCCCCAAGCUGUUUUCUUUUGUUUGUUUUGUUAUUGGGAAUAAUUUGAAAAACCUCCCUUAGGCUAAGUUUGGGAGUUUAGGAUAGAAAAGAGAAGAAGGGAAAACUUAAGUCACGAGAGAAGAGAAGAGAAAAGAAGGGAUUGUUGUGUUGUUUGGGGGUUUUAAGAAUUGGUGGAAUGAUUUUUGGCUAUAAAAGUCAUAAAAUAUUUGUUCAAUACAUUUUUAAGGAUAAAAUAGGUAUUUUAAAAAACUUUCAUAAGGUUCCUCCAACUUUCUCUCCAAUUUAGGAGGAAAACUUUUACUUACUACAGUAUUUAUCCUCUUAAAUCCUUCUAUUUCUCUUCUUUUCUUUCAUAAUAAAAACUAACAAACGAAGGAAAUGUUCACUUUCUCUUUUUUCUCCAAAUCAUCAACUCCCAAACGAGCCCUUAGAGUUUGUGGCAAAAAUAAAAAAAAAAAUAUAUAUAUAUAUAUAAUAAUAUAAUAAUACAAUAGUAAAUAGGAGCACGGGUGACAAGACAGAAGAUCCACUGAUCUAAUAUUUCAUUUCGAGUGAAGGGCGCCACCCCCUCGCUGUAUAUUCAUCAUGGACGUUCGCUAUCUGCCCAUCCGCACCAGAGCACCAGCUUGGCUGGCAAUUAGCUAGGCUCUUGUGCUACAUGAUCCGUAAGGUGGAAAUUGGGAGGUGGGUGGGUCUACUGCGUCUAUUCAAUUUGUAUUUUGCGAAAGACAUUAAGCAAGCAUCCUAUAAUAAUAUAUGAUAAGAAAAGCUUGUUUAAUUGUGUAUGUAUGACUAUGGGAGGACGCCACUUGAAGAAGCACGGAACUUCCCCUAGGAGAGCUGACCUAAUCAGCUCGGGGUGUUGAUGGGAGAGCUGACUUCAAGCCUGCAAGACAGAAAGGAUGAGCUAACUGAGGGGGCCCGAGGGUGGUCCCCGAGGGCACUCCGACGGUCAAGUUAGUUUUCCGGUGAGUGAGUUUCACAGGAAGUAGUAACUGUCCGGAGUAAAUUGUCAAUAGUGAGCGUACCUUGUACAGUGGAUCUGUGUUAUUAUUUAUACCUGCAAGGGAGUCCGGCCUCCGCACGACGCGGGACUUGCCCGGUAUAGAUAACAUCCCGCACAUAGGGGGAUUUCUCCCGACCUCCUCGGGACGGACCUUCGCCUCCCCUGGGAGCCCUAGCCGGUGCGGCCCAGGGCUGCUGCCAGGAGUCUGGGGGCCAAGGCCCAGCUCGGUUCCUCCUGGGCUGCCGCGUGUCCGGGCCCAGAACGGGGCCUCUGCACUAGCCCCCUAGAUUAGGUAGGACUGUCAGGCAGACCUAAUCUAUCUCCGCCACGUGGGAGGCCAGAACCGCGCACUACCCUGCCGAGGUCACCUCUGGUACAGUGCUGUCACAGGGACGCUGCUCCCACGUCCUUUCAGCUGUCCCGUCUCUUCGGUUUUCGUGCCCGCAUUAAAUGCGUUCACAUGGGGGUCGGUUCAAAUUCAUGCAACCGUUUUCCCUCCACUCUUCCCCCUAUAAAUAGGGGAUGCCAAAUACUCAUCUGUCCCAUUUGCCAUUUCCGCCUCUUCUUGUGCAUUUCAAGUUAUCACUCUCCCUGCGCACCCACAUUUCCAUUUUCCAGCAACCUCCGGCGUCCUGUGCCCAGAUUCCGGCGAGCCUUCAGUCCUUCUUCUGCCGUCAUCAGUAAGUCCUUUUUGCGACUCAUCUUCCCUCUUUGCGGUGUCUCUUUUGCCCUCUGCUACCUCCCACUUUUUAUGUCGGAGCAUUCCUCCUCCUCUGUUGCUGUAGUAUCAAUCCGCCGCCGAGCUCCCCGAAUCAUCGUUCUUUCCUCGCCUUCACCCUCAUCUUCGUCACCAUCUUCUCCUCCUCCCCCUUCCCCUUCUUCUGUUUCUAGUCCCAGCUUCCACACCUCAGACCUACUUGAGCCUACCGAUACCAUGAGUUCUCCGUCUGCCCACUCCCCUUCGGCCCAAGCCCUUGAGGAGGCAGCCGAGCUUCACGCGCUCAUCGCGCGGCAGGCUACCUCCACUCCCUCCCCCAGAUCCCCCCAUGAUUCCCCUGGCGGAGCCCAGGAGGGUGCCGGGGAGGAUAGGGACUCAUCGGGUGGGUCCCCUGCUCCCGAGCAGGGGAAUGAUCCUGAAUUCUCCUAUGGCUAUCCCGACCUGCAGGAGGCCACCCUCUCUCCCCAGGAUUUGGCCGAGCUGGUUAGGUCGUACUCCAUCCCUCCAACCUACGAGCCGAGGUUGGCCGGGCCCGACGACCGGGCCUGCCGGCCUCCCCCUGGCUUCGUAGCCAUCUAUAGGGAGCAGCUCAUCGCAGGGCUCCGUCUCCCCAUCCAUCCAGCUCUAACCGAGAUUCUGAACCACUGGGGGCUCAGAAUCACACAGCUCCAUCCUACCUCUAUCAGGAUCAUCACCGGAUUCCUGAUCUACUGCCUUCUCUGCGACAUCCCUUACUCUCUCUCCCUCUUCCGAGCUGCAUUCAUUCUUAAGGCCGCCCUCCCGGGGUGGUACUACUUCUCCCGCCGUGGCCCCCAGACCAAGGGAGGGAAAGGGGCCCAGGAGUUGUUCUUCGGCCUCCGCUCCUCCGUGAAGGAUUGGAAGGAGGAUUUCUUCUUUGUCAGAUCCACACAUUUUCCCCCCAAUGUGUGGAAGGUUGGGGGAGUCAAGGCCGACCCCUACCCGAAGGACCUGGACUACGAGACCCUCGGCCAGCUGUUGGGCUCCAAGGUGAAGCUCGAUGUCACCAGGAUCUCUACUGAGCAGAUCUCCGCAGCCGGGCUGAUGGGGACGUUGUCCGGAUCCUCCGGGGAAGUGGCGACCCCCCAGCCCGAACUCGACACCUGUAACACUGGCUCUGUCCCUGUCUUUAUUCAUAGCGUAUAGAUUUUCCCUUUUCUGCCUUUUACUGUCUUUCGUUUGGCUGACCUGGUGUUCAUUUCAGUGAGAAAGCUCUCCCAGCUGAUGGGCGUACCCCUCGAGGAGGUCACUCCCGACCCCCAGCCUGGAGCUGCUCGGGGGGCCCCAGGUGGGGCUUCCACCCCGGGGGGCGGCUCUGCCCCCCACAAGGAGACAUCACAACCAUCUCCCUCCAAGCAGGCCGCCAGCAAAAAGAAGGCGGCCGGUCAGAAGAGGGGCAGAGGGGACGAGCCCUCUCAGGCUGGGCAGAAGAGGCUCGCCCUGGUCUCCGCACAGCCUCCUCCUCUUGCGCGGGUCUCCGGGGGACCAGUCCACCUGGGCGUGGGCUCUGCCGAGGAGCAGGUCCAGGAGUCGACUCCCCCGAGCUUGUGGCACUUCCGCCACAUAACUCCCCUGAAGCCAGGCCAAGUCCCCACGAUGCAUGACCCCCGCCACUUCUGUCCGUCCUGGAAACUCUCCAUCAACGACCGAGCCCAGUUCCCCGAGGUGGCUCGCGAGCUGAUGGUGGGCUCGGUCCUUCCUAGGGACAGGAAGUGGAUGGAGCUGGCCAGUCCCUCCGAGCUCUUGGAUGCGUACUACACCGCCCAGGCCCAAGUAAGUAUCGCCCAUGGGUUAAUUUCCCCCCCGUGUCUGGGUUAAGUGAUGUGGCAUGCUGAUCUGCUUUCUCUCUUUUCCAGUCCAACGCUGCCGGUGCCGCCCUGGCUACCCGCUUCUCCGAGCUGUCUCCCGACUUGGAGAAGUUGCAGACGAAGAACCUGGAGGCGGAGAGGAAGCUUUCCCAGGCCCUCCAGGAGGCCAGCUCCCUUAAGGCCAAAUUAGACAAGGCCGAAAAGGAGUUGGACGCCGCCCAGGUCCAGCUCGCCUCCACCAGGUCGGAGCUCGACCAGGAGAGGGCUGGUGUGGCCAAGCUGAAGGGGGAGCAUGCCGUAGAGCUCUCCGGCACCGUCAGCCGAGAGCGGAAGAAGGCUGUUCGGGAGUUUAUCUCCUCCGAUCAGUUCGAGGUGGACAUCGCCCUCCUCAACCAGCCCUUCCUCCAGGUUGGCUCUACGCGGGCCCUGACCCAAGUGCAGGGCCUCAACCUACCCGGCUUCAACGUGGCGGACUUCAAGGACUACGAUCCUGCGGCCGAGGAUAGGCUGGACUGGCUCUUUGAUGGGUACCGGAAGGGGCAUGCCCUGAAGAGCCUGGUCCGCCGAACCGACGUAGGAGCAGACCUAGAGGAGAUUCCCCUGGAGGAGGACGGGUCUCCAGGCAGAGCUGCCGGGAAAGAGCCGGUGGCCUAGGGCGGUAGCCACUCCAGAAACCCUUUCUGUCUUUUUGUAAGGAUGUGACCAUGCUCCAGUUGAAAAUGCUCUUGGAGGUCCAUCCAGGACGGAAGGGGUUUCCUGCUUCCGGGCUCCUGAAUAGCCUUCACCAUACGCCUCUCACCAUGCUUAAGGUGUACUUUCAACUUCCACCCCGGUCGGGCCACCAGCAGGUAGAACAGACAUCGAAGGAGAUUAUCAGCUCGGAAAUUUUACGGUAGAUAGGCAGGGCGCUUUGUAAUAGAUAGGCAGCUCGGAAGCUUUGUAAUAGAUAGGCUUGCAAUGUAUACACAAGACUUCGAAGAGUUAUUUUCUUCUUUCCUUGCCCACUCGCAAUGCUAUGUGCCGACCUCUUGGGUCGAACACCUCACACCUCACCCCUUGGGGCUGAGUGCUUUAAAUAUUAAGCGCGUCCUUGCCGACCUCCUAGGUCGAACAAUUCGCACUUCCGACCGAGUACUUUAAGCAUUAAGUGCGUUCUUGCCGACUUCCCGGGUCGAACACUUCGCACUUUAUUAAGCGCGUUCGUGCCGACCUCCUGGGUCGAACACUUCACACUUCAGAAUAUUUUAAUCAUUAAGUGCGUUCUUACCGACCUCUUGGGUCGAACACUUCACACUUCAUUGAGAACACUUCACACUUCAUUAAGCGCGUUCGUGCCGACCUCCUGGGUCAAACACUUCACACUUCAUUGAGCGCGUUCGUGCCGACCUCCUGGGUCGAACACUUCACACUUCAUUGAGCGCGUUCAUGCCGACCUCCUGGGUCGAACACUUCACACUUCAGAAUAUUUUAAGCAUUAAGUGCGUUCUUGCCGACCUCCUGGGUCGAACACUUCACACUUCAUUGAGCGCGUUCAUGCCGACCUCCUGGGUCGAACACUUCACACUUCAGAAUAUUUUAAGCAUUAAGUGCGUUCUUGCCGACCUCCUGGGUCGAACACUUCACACUUCAUUGAGCGCGUUCAUGCCGACCUCCUGGGUCGAACACUUCACACUUCAGAAUAUUUUAAGCAUUAAGUGCGUUCUUGCCGACCUCCUGGGUCGAACACUUCACACUUCAUUGAGCGCGUUCAUGCCGACCUCUUGGGUCGAACACUUCACACUUCAAUUGUGCCCUUCUAUUCUAUGGAGCCACCCCACCCCUCUAAUAAUAAUCCGUCUUUGAGAUAAGAAAGAUUGCCAUCUUUAUUUCCGUUUUUGUGUCUCAUGCUGUCAACAUUUUAAGCAGUAAAAAGUAAUGCAUGGAUUUUAAAAAGUUAAAGUGGAGUAAUUGUCACCCUUCUUUUUUACUAUUAACUUUUAAUUAGUCCUUUCAAUUGUAUGUUGCAGCCUUCUAAAUUGACAAUAAUACUCCUAAUGCCCUACACGUCAUCUUCAAUCCUCUCAAUCGUGAAUUGAAGCGAGAGCAUCUUGAAUUAAUUAAUUAACGUUAUUUUUUACUUAAUAACGCGGCAGCAAAGAGAAUUCAGGACUUAAGAAACCAGUGUUGAGAAAAAUUCUGCUAAUAAAGGAGAAAGGUCCAACUCCAACUAGACUAAGGGACGGCGUGGCGGUUGACGACAUUAAUGGUGGAAAAAAGCUGAGCAGCAGGGGGUAUAGCAUCCCCGGUGGCGGUAGGAGCAUCAACGGAAGCAGAAGCACCGCGACCAGGUUGGGGUGGGAGGUGUCCCUGGGUCCCAUAUCCUUGCUGCUUGUAAUCCUCCAAGUCCUUGUACUGCGUGUAGGGACUAGUAUUCACUGGCCCUCCCUUCUCUUCCUUGCCUUUUCUCUCCAUUUUGCCCUCCACCUUUAUUAUUACCACUUCUAUUUGCCCCCAAAAAAAAAAUUUACUUUUUUUCUGUCGAAUUUUUCAGGGCUUCAAAUUGAUAUAGCUGAUCACUAGGUGGAUUGCUCUUUGAUUGAUUUUUGUGAAUUCGAGAAAUUCGUAUUAUAUGGCUUCUCUAUUUCGGCCUGCCGUUGCCACGAGUCAUUGACGUGUUAGGUGUUGAGGAAAGGGAGGCUAGAGUCACGUUGAGCCG